rnacentral:lncRNA from 1 species
AUUGCCUAGGUUUUCUUCUAGGGUUUUUAUGGUUUUAGAUCUUAUGUUUAAGUCUUUAAUCCACCUUGAGUUAAUUUUUGUAUAAGGUGUAAGGAAGGGGUCCAGUUUCAGUUUUCUGCAUAUGGCUAGCCAGUUUUCCCAGCACCGUUUAUUAAAUAGGGAAUCCUUUCCUCAUUGCCUGUUUAUGUGAAUUCUCUCUGCUGUUUUUACAACUUUUUCUAUUAACUGUAAAAAUAUAUCAA